CAGCCGCCACGGUAAUACGGAGGGGGCUAGCGUUGUUCGGAAUUACUGGGCGUAAAGCGCACGUAGGCGGCUUGGUAAGUUAGAGGUGAAAGCCCGGAGCUCAACUCCGGAAUUGCCUUUAAGACUGCCGAGCUAGCAGGUGAGAGAGGUAAGUGGAAUUCCGAGUGUAGAGGUGAAAUUCGUAGAUAUUCGGAAGAACACCAGUGGCGAAGGCGGCUCACUGGCUCAUACUGGACGCUGAGGUGCGAAAGCGUGGGGAGCAAACAGGAUUAGAUACUCGGGUAGUCCCGUCUCUUAUACA
rnacentral:rRNA from 1 species